AUGGGUCCAUACAUUGCACAUUUGGUCCGUGCAUUGCAGGGUGGUUGCAGGUUGGGUCCAUGCAUUGCAAGAUGGGUCUGUGCAUUGCACGACGGGUCUGUGCAUUGCAGGGUGGUUGCAGGAUGGGUCAGUGCAUUGCAGGAUGGGUCCAUGUAUUGCAAGAUGGGUCCGUGCAUUGCAGGGUGGUUGCAGGAUGGGUCUAUGCAUUGCAAGAUGGGUCUGUGCAUUGCACGACGGGUCCGUGCAUUGCAGCGCGGUUGCAGGAUGGGUCUGUGCAUGGCAGGGUGGGUCCAUGCAUUGCAGGGUGGUUGCAGGUUGGGUCAGUGCAUUGCAGGAUGGUUGCAGGAUGGGUCCAUGCAUGGCGGGGUAGGUCCAUGCAUUGCAAGAUGGGUCCGUGCAUUGCAGGGUGGUUGCAGGAUGGGUCCAUGUGUUGCAAGAUGGGUCCAUGCAUUGCACGAAAGGUCCGUGCAUUGCAGGAUGGUUGCAGGAUGGGUCCAUGCAUUGCAGGUUUGGUCUGUGCAUUGCAGGGUGGUUGGAGGUUGGGUCCAUGUAUUGCAAGAUGGCUCCGUACAUUGCACGGUGGUUGCAGGUUGGGUCCAUGCAUUGCAGGUUUGGUCUGUGUAUUGCAGGGUGGUUGCAGGAUGGGUCCAUGUGUUGCAAGAUGGGUCUGUGCAUUGUAGGAUGGGUCCGUGCAUUGCAGGGUGGGUCCGUGCAUUGCAGGAUAGGUCUGUGCAUUGCAGGUUGGGUCCAUGCAUUGCAGGGUGGUUGCAGGAUGGGUCCAUGUGUUGCAAGAUGGGUCUGUGCAUUGCAGGGUGGGUCCGUGCAUUGCAGGAUGGGUCUGUGCAUUGCAGGUUGGGUCCAUGCAUUGCAGGUUUGGUCCGUGCAAUGCAGGGUGGUUGCAGGAUGGGUCCGUGCACUACAGGAUGGGUCUGUGCAUUGCAGGGUGGGUCCGUGCAUUGCAGGAUGGCUGCAGGGUUGGUCCUUGCAGGGUGGUUGCAGAAUGGAGCUAUGCAUUGCAGGAUGGGUCCAUGCAUUGCAAGAUGGGUCUGUGCAUUGCAUGACGGGUCCAUGCAUUGCAGCGUGGUUGCAGGAUGGGUCCGUGCAUUGGAGGUUGGGUCCGUGCAUUGCAAGAUGGGUCUGUGCAUUGCACGACAGGUCUGUGCAUUGCAGGGUAGUUGCAGGGUGGGUCCAUGCAUUACACGACAGGUCUGUGCAUUGCAGGGUGUUUGCAGGACGGGUCCAUGUAUUGCAGGAUCAGUCCAUGCAUUACAGGAUGGGUGGGUGCACUGUAGUGCAGCUGCAAAGUAG
rnacentral:lncRNA from 1 species